AGGCUUAACACAUGCAAGUCGAGCGCCCCGCAAGGGGAGCGGCAGACGGGUGAGUAACGCGUGGGAAUCUACCCUUUUCUACGGAAUAACGCAGGGAAACUUGUGCUAAUACCGUAUGUGUCCUUCGGGAGAAAGAUUUAUCGGGGAAGGAUGAGCCCGCGUUGGAUUAGCUAGUUGGUGGGGUAAAGGCCUACCAAGGCGACGAUCCAUAGCUGGUCUGAGAGGAUGAUCAGCCACAUUGGGACUGAGACACGGCCCAA
rnacentral:rRNA from 1 species